rnacentral:rRNA from 1 species
AUGGCGAGGGCGGCCACGUCGUGCGCGCGCGCCGCCAUCUCCGCGGUGGCGAAGGUGCCGAGCCAGAUGCGCGACUUCUUGCGGGGCUCCCGAAUCUCCGACACCCACUUGCCCCAGCUCCGCAUGCGCACCCCGCGGUACGUCGGGUGCCGCCCGUCGUUGCGCGGCCGCUUCUUCUUGGACGACGCGGUGGUGGCCGUCGGGGACGGCGGCGCGGCCAGGGCCUCCGCCGAGGACGACGUGGUGGUCUCGGAGCCGGAGGAGGAAUCCUCCGUGGCGCCCAUGGCUGAUGAUACUGUGGUGGUGGAGUUAGUUGUUGGGGGAGUGAUGAGCGAGAGCGUGAGGAGGUGA